GUCACGAAGCGGGCGGUGUGACGUCACUUCCGCUUCCUGCGGCUCCCGAAGCGAUUUCCGCUCCUUUUUUUUCUGCGCGGCGUUUCAGUCCCUGUCUGAAGCGGGCUGUUGUCGAGUCGCGGCGAGGCCGGCGCACCGCAGCCAUGACGGAGGCUGAUGUGAAUCCGAAGGCCUAUCCCCUCGCAGAUGCCCACCUCACCAAGAAGCUGCUGGACCUUGUUCAGCAGUCGUGUAACUACAAGCAGCUUCGGAAAGGAGCCAAUGAAGCAACCAAAACCCUCAACAGAGGCAUCUCUGAGUUCAUUGUGAUGGCAGCAGACGCUGAGCCCUUGG